CCUACGGGAGGCAGCAGUGGGGAAUAUUGGACAAUGGGCGAAAGCCUGAUCCAGCCAUGCCGCGUGUGUGAAGAAGGCCUUCGGGUUGUAAAGCACUUUCAGUGGGGAAGAAAGCCUUGGGGCUAAUACCCUCGAGGAAGGACAUCACCCACAGAAGAAGCACCGGCUAACUCCGUGCCAGCAGCCGCGGUAAUACGGAGGGUGCGAGCGUUAAUCGGAAUUACUGGGCGUAAAGCGCGCGUAGGCGGUCUGAUAAGCCGGUUGUGAAAGCCCCGGGCUCAACCUGGGAACGGCAUCCGGAACUGUCAGGCUAGAGUGCAGGAGAGGAAGGUAGUAUUCCCGGUGUAGCGGUGAAAUGCGUAGAGAUCGGGAGGAAUACCAGUGGCGAAGGCGGCCUUCUGGACUGACACUGACGCUGAGGUGCGAAAGCGUGGGUAGCAAACAGGAUUAGAUACCCGAGUAGUC
rnacentral:rRNA from 1 species